UAUUUCUCAGUUUAAGGCGCUGUACUCGAAAUACUGAAACAAACAGCAGGCUGGGAUUGCCUCCACACGGCUCUCACAGACCGUUCCGCAAUUUGUGAAAUACCUGUGU